GUGCCAGCAGCCGCGGUAAUACAUAGGGAGCGAGCGUUGUCCGGAAUUACUGGGUGUAAAGGGUGCGUAGGCGGGAUUGCAAGUCAGAUGUGAAAUACACGGGCUCAACCUGUGGGCUGCAUUUGAAACUGUAGUUCUUGAGUGAAGUAGAGGCAAGUGGAAUUCCUGGUGUAGCGGUGAAAUGCGUAGAUAUCAGGAGGAACACCGGUGGCGAAGGCGACUUGCUGGGCUUUAACUGACGCUGAGGCACGAAAGCGUGGGUAGCAAACAGGAUUAGAUACCCUGGUAGUCCACGCCGUAAACGAUGAUUACUACGUGUGGGGGGAUAACAUCUUUCCGUGCCGCAGUUAACACAAUAAGUAAUCCACCUGGGGAGUACGACCGCAAGGUUGAAACUCAAAGGAAUUGACGGGGGCCCGCACAAGCAGUGGAGUAUGUGGUUUAAUUCGAAGCACGCGAAAAACCUUACCAGGUCUUGACAUCGAGUGCAUAACUAAGAGAUUAGUGAAAUUCUUUUUUAAAGAACACUUAGAUCAGGUGGUGCAUGGUUGUCGUCAGCUCGUGUCGUGAGAUGUUGGGUUAAGUCCCGCAACGAGCGCAACCCUUACCUUUAGUUGCUACGUCAAGAGCACUCUAAAGGGACUGCCGUUGACAAAACGGAGGAAGGUGGGGAUGACGUCAAAUCAUCAUGCCCCUUAUGACCUGGGCUACACACGUACUACAAUGGCAAUUAACAAAGAGAAGCGAGACUCUGAAGUGGAGCAAAUCUCAAAAAAUUGUCUCAGUUCGGAUUGCAGGCUGCAACUCGCCUGCAUGAAGUCGGAAUUGCUAGUAAUCGUAGAUCAGCAUGCUACGGUGAAUACGUUCUCGGGCCUUGCACACACCGCCCGU
rnacentral:rRNA from 1 species